UACGAAGGGGGCUAGCGUUGCUCGGAAUCACUGGGCGUAAAGCGCACGUAGGCGGAUUGCUAAGUCAGGGUGAAAUCCUGGGAGCUCAACUCCAGAACUGCCCUUGAUACUGGCGGUCUCGAGUCCGGGAGAGGUGAGUGGAACUGCGAGUGUAGAGGUGAAAUUCGUAGAUAUUCGCAAGAACACCAGUGGCGAAGGCGGACUCACUGGCCCGGUACUGACGCUGAGGUGCGAAAGCGUGGGAG
rnacentral:rRNA from 1 species